rnacentral:lncRNA from 1 species
AAAAGCAUGAUUGGUAGACAGACCAACUCAGUGGGGUUAUAGAGUGAUCAGCCAAAUAAGUGGGAAUUUUAACAGUUCAGUGAUAUGUGUAUAUCUGCUCAUUUUAUCUCUUUCCAAAUGAUUAGUUCUUCAACCUCUGUUCCAGCUUCUCUUUAAAGGCAGUGAUUCUCCAAGGGAGAAUGCAUGCUGACCUUCUCUGAUGGGCCACAUCUUUCUCUCUGCAGUUUGCUCAGGUUGGACUGUGAUGUCAGCUUGCAGCCUUCAGCCUAUCAAAUUAGCACUGCUACGUGCUGUUUAGGUACUGUGCUGCAUCCCACAGGUCUGGCUGUUCUUCCUAGCAGUAAGAAGCCACUGCACCAGAAAGGCUACCUACGUGUUGGAGUAUGGGGUAGGUUUGUCUGAAGGAAUUCAGCAUGAUGAUGUGACUGAUCUAUGAUGGUCCCGUGUGCCCCCUGCCAUUUAAAUCCUGAUGGACGUAUAUCCCCACCACUAGAUAUGAAAUGGGGUUAGGAAUUUUGCUCUUCUUUCUCACGCUUUUAUGAGCAGCAUCUACCUCCAGGUGAGAAUUCACGUUGUAUGUACUAGCCAGGCAAUGAGUAGAGCAACUCAGCAUCGUCACUGUAGGUUUCUGUGAGCAUGCAGGGUGGGAGGGUGGCAGGGGCUGCUGGAGCUGGGCUGUUACCUUGGGAAUGGGGCAGCUGUAUAGACACAUAGGCUUAAGAACCAUGGCAUGGUGACCUCCGCUACCCAUAAAGUAAUUAAACAACAAAUACAGAUUUAACCAGUAUUAGAUAAUAAAUCAAGAGGAACUAGACUAAUUAUAUGGUGU